CACGUAGGGGGCGAGCGUUGUCCGGAUUCAUUGGGCGUAAAGGGCGCGUAGGCGGCCGAUCAAGUCGGAGGUGAAAUCCCUCGGCUCAACUGAGGAACUGCCUUCGAUACUGUUCGGCUUGAGUCCUGGAGAGGGUAGCGGAAUUCCCGGUGUAGCGGUGAAAUGCGUAGAGACCGGGAAGAACACCAGUGGCGAAGGCGGCUACCUGGACAGGUACUGACGCUGAAGCGCGAAAGCUAGGGGAGCAAACAGG
rnacentral:rRNA from 1 species